rnacentral:rRNA from 1 species
CCUACGGGGGACAGCAGUCGAGAAUCAUUCACAAUGGGGGAAACCCUGAUGGUGCGACGCCGCGUGAAGGAAGAAGGCUUUCGGGUUGUAAACUUCUUUUAAGGGGGAAGAGCAGAAGACGGUACCCCUUGAAUAAGCCACGGCUAACUACGUGCCAGCAGCCGCGGUAAUACGUAGGUGGCAAGCGUUGUCCGGAUUUACUGGGUGUAAAGGGCGUGCAGCCGGAGAGACAAGUCAGAUGUGAAAUCCGCAGGCUCAACCUGCGAACUGCAUUUGAAACUGUUUCCCUUGAGUAUCGGAGAGGUCAUCGGAAUUCCUAGUGUAGCGGUGAAAUGCGUAGAUAUUAGGAAGAACACCAGUGGCGAAGGCGGAUGACUGGACGACAACUGACGGUGAGGCGCGAAAGCGUGGGGAGCAAACAGGAUUAGAUACCCCAGUAGUC